UUUAAUCUAUUCAUCUUGAGUCAUCGUAGUACAACGAAAACUAGAUAAAUCAAUUACACGUAAUGCAACCAAAACUAGCAUCUAACAUCUCAAUGGCCUACAUAAAUCAAUUACAUAGACCCGUUUACUAAGAGCAUCUCCAACAGCUAGUCUAAAAAGGUGUCUAUAGUUGUUUAGACCACGAAGGCAAAAAAAAAAAAAAUGAGCCUCCAACAGCUCGUCCAUACUGAGGUCUAAACUUUGACGUCGUCCAAAUCGAGCUCCACAACGUCCAGCCCUAACGAUGUGGACCCAUCGUCCAUAGCGAACGGGGCGCCAGAUUUCACCUUCGCGCCAAGAAGGAGGAAGUGGCGCGCAAUGCCGUCGUGCAGCGCCAACGCUGAGGUACGUCCCUUUAAAUGCAGGGGGAGGGGGUGAAGUCACGCUCUGAGGUGGAGGGGAGGGUGGAUCCCAUCGCCGCCACACUCUGGGGUGGAGGGGAGGGUGGAUCCCGCCGCCGCCGCGCUCUAGGGUGGAGGGGAGGGCGGAUCCCGCCGACGCCGCGCUCUGAGGUGGAGGGGAGGGCGGAUCCCGCCGCCGUCGCGCUAUGGGGUGGAGGGGAGUGCGGAUCCCGUCGCCGCCGCGCUCUGGGUGGAGUGAAGGGCGGAUCCCGCGGCCGCUGGAGAGGGAGGAAUGGGCGCAGGGGGAAGGAGUGGGUCGUCGCGCAGCGGGUGGGAGGAACGGGCGCAGGGGAAGGGAGGAAGGAACAGACACAUGGGGAGGGAGGAAGGAACGGACGCAGGGGAGGGAGGAACGGGAGCAAGGAAUGCAUUUGGACUGAAGUCGACGGGGAGCUCAAGUGUGAGAAAUGGACUCGGGAUGAUGGCGCCAAGUCAAAGGAAUAAUCAUCAAACAUAAAUAGCUGCUCGACAGCUUGAUCGGCAAUCCGGAGAUGGCAAGGCGCAUGUUUCUGUCAAUCUGUUGAUUUGGGAAGAAAAGUGUCCUGUUCUUGGGUAUGACCAACAAAGAGUGUCCUUUUUUUGCUUAUUCAGGUGAGCUUUUUGUCUCUUUGUUCUUUUUUGUUUUGUUUACUCUAUGUCAUAUGCUGUGGUGGAAGGACCUGUGUUAAAGCUAGGUGGGUUGGAUAUAUUUUUGUCAUACAAGCAAUGUACUGAUAUUAUAUGUGAGGCAAUUCUACAAUAAUUAGUGAUGCAAUUCUGCAGUCAGUUUUUCAACCGGCUAAAACAAAGCAAACAACUUGGUCUGCCUAUGAUUUUUGCUCGAGCUGUGAAUUUGCUUGAUGGAGUCUCGGUAUGCUUUUCUUCACCUUUACCUUGCAACACCAAAAAUAAUUUUCUUCACCUUUACCCAUCAACACCACAAAUUUGUGGAUGUGGUAGUUGAACUCGAUAUCCUUGCAAUACAAUUCAACAUUCAUCAAAGCUCCAUUUCUAGCUGACCAAACAAUAAGUUUGCGCCACUCUCUCACGCAAUAUAUAUUUAUCCAAAGUACAUUAGUGACCAAGAACUUUCCUGAUAUGCUGGCAUUGACAUUGUUUUCUGUUCUCUUACACAUGUGGCUUUCAUUAAACAAGAAUCUUACUGAAUAAAAAACACAUUGUUCCUUAUAUGCUAUGUAAUUUCAAUCGAAGUGAUGGCGGUUGUAGGCCUGGAUCAUACACAUAAUGCCAUCUUCUGCUAUCUUUUUUAGGCUUCACUCACAUCCAUUGUAGAGAUGCAAUUUUUUAGUCUGCUGUGCAGUCAAGAACUUGAGCACCGCACAUAUGAAAUGAAGUAAUUAUAUUAACAAUAAGAUCAAGGUUCAUCACUAAGUUGGAUACAGUAAAAAUAAAUUUGUUGUUUCUCAAGCCUAGCAAGAAGUGUUUUACACACAUGUUAUUUAUCUCUAUUUAUGCCAACAGAUAGAUUAAGGUGAAUUUGCUGAAAAGAGGUAAAAGAAUUACAGGUUCCUUCUAUGUCUUCCUGCCAUACGAGCCAUUGUUCUUUGGAUCAUCUACAAACCUCACACAAGUAACGUUGAGUUGAUAAAAGCAAGCAAAAGUAACUUUGACCGAGCUAUUUUAAUUUUUCCUUUUUGUGAAACUUUGGUAGACAUGGCAAUAAUAACAUUACUUUCACAAAAUUACUAUAGAUUAGGGUAAUUAUACUUGUAACAUUUAUCAGAGUUGGAUAUGAGUAGUGUUGCAUAGUGGCACCCGGAGGAAGUUUUAUGAAUAUUUUUGCCCGUUGCAACGCACGGGCACAUGUACUAGUCUAUACCUAUAUUAAUUCUAGACUCUCAAGAAAUUCCCACGUAAAUUAGAUUUUACGAGCCGUUCAUCUAACGUGGGACCGAGUUAUUAUGGUGUAGAUCCAAUCGUAAAAUUCUGAGCCAAAAAAAGAUUCUAUCAUCUAUAGAAACACAAAACUAAAAAAAAAAAACAUAUCUCAAUCUAUACAUAUACCAGUUAUUGUGGUAGAUAUUCUGGUAAUGUAAUGACUGCCUAAAAAGUACCACGUAUAUCUCUCCGUCUCUCCUAAUCUCUCAUGGCUCAUUCUUUUCUGUAGGUCCCCGUCCCAAAAUCUCACAUCUCAUAUCUCACGACUCUCCUUCCUCUAUUCUCUAGGUCAGCAAAGGAAAAAAAGAACCACGAUCUCAGAAGCCCAGCUGUCCUCGGCGGCCACCGUCCUCUCGAUACGAAGGGAGUUCUUCAUCGUCUAUAGCUCCCCGGCGGCGAUUUUAGAAGCCUAGCCCAUGACAUGACGCCUUCUACCAGCAUGGCUCCAUGCCUAGACACAAACAUCCUCACGACAGGAGAGGGGCACCAACUGUCUAAAGACAAACCACCCUAAGGUUAGAUCUUACAAUUUGUCAUGCCAAGUCAGUCAUCUAUGCUUUCUCCUGACCUCAUCUCUCUCAGAUUUUCUGCUAAUGUUUUUUGCAUAUAACUCCGUCACUCUUUCCAUACCAGGUCGGCACGUCUAGAUUUAUUAAUGUUUCUUCUUGCAUCACGUGGAGAAGGAACUGUCAUGAGCAAUCAUUAUCUAGAUCAAUUCGUUUUUCACCUAUUAUACUUGGAUCUGGUUUAUGUUUCUCAUGUUUAUUCCUAAUAAAUAGUCCAUGAUUUUGGUCCCUUUUUCAGGGCUUCUUUCUUAGAUUGCUCUUCUCCUCAUAAUAUACCACUUCUCAUGUUCUAUGCAUCAAUCUGUCAUACAAUUACAAUCUCCCCCUCCUGGCUUUCAAACAUGUAUAAUUGCUUUGCUGCCAGUACUGUUCUGACCCUGUCUUGGCCUUGAAUUUGAUGAACAAGAGUUAGUUCUUCAGUGAGACGACCAGCUGUAGUUGGUUGCGAGAUAGAUCAUAAGGCAUGGAAUAGAUGUUCAUGGUGUUUGUUAUCUCCAGAUCAUGUGAUAUAUAGAGCUAGCAUAGUGGCCGGUCCAAAAUUGAGCAGAUUUUUCGCUGGAUAUCACACUGCCUAAAUUUUCUUCACUUAUUAAAACAUCUGUAAUCUCCCCCCUCCUGGCUUUCAAACAUGUAUAAUUGCUUUGCUGCCAGUACUGUUCUGACCCUGUCUUGGCCUUGAAUUUGAUGAACAAGAGUUAGUUCUUCAGUGAGACGACCAGCUGUAGUUGGUUGCGAGAUAGAUCAUAAGGCAUGGAAUAGAUGUUCAUGGUGUUUGUUAUCUCCAGAUCAUGUGAUAUAUAGAGCUAGCAUAGUGGCCGGUCCAAAAUUGAGCAGAUUUUUCGCUGGAUAUCACACUGCCUAAAUUUUCUUCACUUAUUAAAACAUUAUUGAAACAUCAGGUUAGAGAAGAAACCUUUUGCCACCGCAAAAAAACCGAGAAGAAACCUUUUGAAAAUUCAUCAACCACCUGACUGGAUGGAUUGUGCACCACAUAUCAGGCUAGCGUGGAGUCCUACCAUCAACUUCUCUGAUUCUUCUAUAAAUAGAACUUCUGCGCUCCUUCUCUUCUCAUGUGAAAGUCAUAUGCGAGUACACAGCAACGUGUCCCAAUGAAAGUACCAAUAACAUACAUGUCAAUCUUUUUUCAAUCUAAUGUUUAUGUUUCCGAAUGAUUGCCUAUUCUGCUUCUAAUCAUGGUGAUGUCAAACAACAGUGUACAAAGUGUGCCUUCACUGGGACAGAAUAUCAUAAUGUAACAAAUACACAGGAAUACUACCACUUCAUCCAGCAACAGUGGUAGUAUACUCAGCGUUGACUGUGUAUGUUUGCAUGUAUGCGCAGUUUAAUAUACGAUCCAGGCUUACACAUCUGAUCUAUGUAUCAAGACAAUAUGUGGUCAGCUCAGAGAUCGUCGUAACUUCUGGCGGAAUAGGUAUGUGUUAUACUAACUCCUUUUGUAUGCUUUUGAUGUUAAUUUACUAAUUAUAUUCGUAGAAUUUAUCUCAUCCUUAGUUAAAUAGAAGGCAUGAAUAGGCGUAAAAGUUAUAAUGGUUAGGUGCAAGAUUAAGGUGUGAAUGCAUUUUUUGUCGGUCUGCAUGUAAAUAUGUUCUAUAGUUAUAUCUGAAUCAUUUGUUUCCUCAUCAUGUUCUAUAGUUUAUCGAGUCUUCAUUCAUGGUUAUACCUGAAUCAUUUGUUUUUGUUCACCAGGUUCUAUAGUUAAUCAGGUAUCGUAGUUUUAUUUUAUUUGAUCUGAGCAUGAUCUAAUAAGUAAAAUCACAAUAGUCUGACAUGUAAAAUGCAAGAAGGCACAAAAACUUAUUUUUGGUACUAUAGUUCACAAAUAUCAGAAGUCUCCUGCCAGCAAAGAUGUUUUAGCAGAGAACCAGUGGCAAUCUCAGCGAUGAUGUGUCCAUUUAUAUGGUUGAAAGUCACCACAGUUAACAUGUCCUCCUCAUUAUAUAUGUACCAAUGUGCCUAUAGUUUUAAGUUGAUGCAGUUCAUGAACAUUGUACUUCAUACAGAUCUCAUGGUGAUUUAGAAUAUUCUUAUGGUGUGUUUGGCUGUUAUUUUCUGAAAGAUUGUAGCAUUAUCUACCAGAUUUUUCUCUUUCUCUCCACAAUUCUUAUGUGGUUGACUGUUUUACUAAAGAAUUGAAAUUAAACUUUUUGAUUAA